rnacentral:rRNA from 1 species
GAUGAACGCUGGCGGCGUGCUUAACACAUGCAAGUCGAACGAUGAAGCCCAGCUUGCUGGGUGUAUUAGUGGCGAACGGGUGAGUAACACGUGAGUAACCUGCCCUUAACUCUGUGAUAAGCCUGGGAAACUGGGUCUAAUACCGGAUAGGAGCGUCCACCGCAUGGUGGGUGUUGGAAAGAUUUAGCGGUUUUGGAUGGACUCGCGGCCUAUCAGCUUGUUGGUGAAGGAAUGGCUCACCAAGGCGACGACGGGUAGCCGACCUGGGAGGGUGACCAGCGACACUGGGCCUGCGAGACGCAGCAGACUGGUACAGGAGGCAGUAGGGGGGAAUCUUAUACAAUGAGCGCACGCGUGAUGCAGCGGCGUCGCGUGUGGGAUGACGUCCUUCGGGUUGAAAACCUCAUUCAGUAGGGACGCCGCGAUAGUGACGGUACCUACAGAAGAAGCACCGGCUAACUACGUG